ACUGGGCGUCGUGGCGGGCGCCUGUAGUCCCAGCUACUUGGGAGGCUGAGGCAGGAGAAUCACUUGAACCCAGGAGGCGGAGGUUGCAGUGAGCCAAGAUUGCGCCACUGCACUCCAGCCUGGGCAACAGAGUGAGAUUCUGUCUCAA
rnacentral:SRP_RNA from 1 species